UGCAGCUCUGAAAAGCAAGCAAUGGAAGGAAAUACGAGGGAAAUUGACAUCAGACAUCAGAAAGUAAUUCGUGCCUAGGAUGCAGGUGGAAUCUUCUGCUUUGAAGCAUACCCUGUGGCAACGCGACCUCCCUGGGAACCUCUCCUAUCUACCUUCAGUCCCUAUGCAUCCGCUUCCUCCCAAUUCCUCUUGCCCUCACUCAUCAUAAGCAUAUGAGGAGGCUUUGGGAGGACAGUCUUAGUUGGAACAAGGAUUUUCAGGCUGUAGAGACCAGAGAAUGCUUGUCCUGGGAUGUGUGAGAGAUGGUUCCCAGAGAGACGCCUGGAAAUCAGAGACAAGGGUCAGCGAUGUUGGCAGAUGAGGAAACUGAGGCUAGGAGAAGUCAACCACGUCCCCUAGGGGUCACAGAACCAGUCCAUGGCAGAGCCUGGUGUUCUCACCCAGACCUGACUAAUUUGAAGGCUCACGGCCACAGUUUCCCCACAUCCUCUCCUGUGCUAACCUGGAUUACCCACCGCCUGCUCUCAACUGCUGGACUGCAUCAUAUGGUGUCAUCAGUAGAGGGAGGAGUACCAGGGGGUGUGUCUGUGUCUCUCCAGGCCCUAAACUACACAGCUAACCCUCACUAAUCCAAGAGGGUUAAGGAAAUGGGGUGGUGUAAUUCAUCUAACAUUCUGGUCUAAUUAAGCGUUUCCAUGUUUAUCGGGGCAAUCACCAAUUCUAAAAGGAGCAAAUGCAACGAAAUACACUCAAUGCUGAAACCUGACUGAGCAGAAUUUAAUGGUGGAUGAUUCAGAAGUCACUGCCUGAUCUCCAAAGUCCCCAGGGACAUUAUUUUGUGCAUCAGUUCCUACCAAGAGGCUUGUAGAUGUGGAGAUUGU
rnacentral:lncRNA from 10 species